ensembl:lncRNA
UGUGUUUGCGUACCUGAUGGCUGUUUUUAACCAAUUGGCUCAUAAGUGUGCUCAUUUGAGCACACUUGUGUUUAGUGUUUUAAUCUAUGUUUAGUGUGUUUAGUGUUUUUCAAAUCACUGUGUGUAUUGUUUUGCAAAAAAUUUAAAGCUGACAUUGUGCUUAUAGUUGUGCACAUCUGGGCAAUGUUUUGUUCCUUUUGUGUAAUCAUUUGAUAAUUAUGUGAUACUUUUGAUUUUAGUCUUUAUAGAAUCGUAAAAAAAAAUAAUGUUAGGCAUAUCUAAAGGAUAACCUCCACAAUUGCUGUUUAGAGUUAGCCGAUUCAUUGAAAUUCAAGUUGAAUAAUAUUCAGACAGGUUUUUAAGCUUUGCCAAAAUAUCACCCGCCCAUUUAAGCAUAUUUUGGCAAGUUCAACAUGUAAAAAUAUUUUUUGAAUGUUGACCCUUGAUGUUUUCUAAAUCAGUGUUUUCUGAGGCCUCGUGCAACACUGGCGCACCCCAGGGAACACAAAUUUCACAUUUUCUUAUCACCAUCUACAUCUGACUUCAGCUUCAACCCUGGAACGUGCCACCUACCGAAGUACUCAGAUGACUCCUCCAUCGUGGGCUGCAUCAGUGAGGACAGGGAGGAAGAGUUCAGCGGUGUGGUGGAGGGCUUCGUCAGAUGGUCCGAGGAGAACCACCUCCAGCUCAACAUCGGCAAGACCAAGGAGCUGAUGGUGGACUUCUGACAGAGCAGGAAGCCCCCAACCCCCAUUACCAUCCUGGGGUUGAGGUAGAGACAGUGGACUUGUACAAGUUCCUUGGAGUGAGCAUAAACAAUAAACGGGACUGGAUGGACAACAACGAGGCCAUCUAUCGGAAGAAUCUGAGCAGACUCUUUAUCCCAAGGAGGCUCAGAUCCUUUGACGUGUGUGGCAGGCUACUAAAGAUGUUUUAUCAGUCUGUGGUAGCCAGCACACUGUUCUUUGCUGGGGCGUGCUGGGGAGGUGGCAUCAAGGCUGGGGAGUCCAACAGACUCAACAAGCUGGUGAGGAAGGCCAGCUCUGUUGUGGGGCUAGAACUGGACAGUCUUGAGGUAGUGGUGGAGAGGAGGAUGAAGGACAAAUUCAAGUCCAUCGUUGAUAACCAUCCCAUCCCCUCUAUGCUGAGCUGUGCCAGAUGGGGAGCACCUUUAGCCACAAAUUAAUUUCCCCCAGCGGAGCGCUUCAGGUGCAGACAGCCGAUAGUCUGUACAACAGCGCCUGAUGUAUGUAUGUAUGUAUGUAUGUAUGUAUGUAUGUAUGUAUGUAUGUAUGUAUGUAUGUAUGUAUGUAUGUAUGUAUGUAUGUAUGUAUGUAUGUAUGUAUGUACUGUGUGUGUGUGUGUGUGUGUGUGUGUGUGUGUGUGUGUGUGUGUGUGUGUGUGUGUGUGCGUGUGUGUGUGUGUUCUUCAUCACUGGGCCACUUCUCUUUGUUUACAUUUGCAUUCAUACACUUUAAUAAACAGUGAAGUACUAUACUUAACCACUUUGUAUUGUAUAAUUGAUAUUACUUAUACCGUUUUGUUUGCCCUGUUUGCCUGUUUGUUACUUUAGCGUCUAUUUUUGUUUUCAUAAGUACUUUUUAUUUUUAUUGUAUUGUAUCUAAUACUGUGUUUUCCACUGCUGCCGGGCUCUUGUAACAAAGGAAUUUUCCCUCCGGCGGAUUAAUAAAGUUGUUUUCUAUCUAUCUCUAAAGCAUACAACCA